GUUCAACCCCUUCCCUCACUA
rnacentral:tRNA from 6 species